UGGGGAAUCUUCCGCAAUGGACGAAAGUCUGACGGAGCAACGCCGCGUGAGUGAUGACGGUCUUCGGAUUGUAAAGCUCUGUUAAUCGGGACGAAUGGUUUGUGUGCAAAUAGUGCAUAGACAUGACGGUACCGGAAUAGAAAGCCACGGCUAACUACGUGCCAGCAGCCGCGGUAAUACGUAGGUGGCAAGCGUUGUCCGGAAUUAUUGGGCGUAAAGCGCGCGCAGGCGGACUAGCCAGUCAGUCUUAAAAGUUCGGGGCUUAACCCCGUGAUGGGAUUGAAACUACUAGUCUAGAGUAUCGGAGAGGUAAGUGGAAUUCCUAGUGUAGCGGUGAAAUGCGUAGAGAUUAGGAGGAACACCGGUGGCGAAAGCGGCUUUUUGGCCUGCAACUGACACUGAGGCGCGAAAGCGUGGGGAGCAAACAGG
rnacentral:rRNA from 1 species